GAGGUAAUGACUGAAGGGUUUAAAGUGCCUAGCUGUAAACUAGGGGGUCGAGUACCCUAUGGGAGUUCAAAUCUCUCUUACCUCA